rnacentral:rRNA from 1 species
UGGGGAAUAUUGCACAAUGGGCGCAAGCCUGAUGCAGCCAUGCCGCGUGUGUGAGGAAGGCCUUCGGGUUGUAAAGCACUUUCAGCGAGGAGGAAGGUGGUGAGCUUAAUACGCUCAUCAAUUGACGUUACUCGCAGAAGAAGCACCGGCUAACUCCGUGCCAGCAGCCGCGGUAAUACGGAGGGUGCAAGCGUUAAUCGGAAUUACUGGGCGUAAAGCGCACGCAGGCGGUUUGUUAAGUCAGAUGUGAAAUCCCCGGGCUCAACCUGGGAACUGCAUUUGAAACUGGCAAGCUAGAGUCUCGUAGAGGGGGGUAGAAUUCCAGGUGUAGCGGUGAAAUGCGUAGAGAUCUGGAGGAAUACCGGUGGCGAAGGCGGCCCCCCUGGACGAAGACUGACGCUCAGGUGCGAAAGCGUGGGGCAGCAAACAGGAUUAGAUACCCUGGUAGUCCA